CUUUCAACAACGGAUCUCUUGGUUCCAGCAUCGAUGAAGAACGCAGCGAAAUGCGAUAACUAAUGUGAAUUGCAGAAUUCAGUGAAUCAUCGAGUCUUUGAACGCACAUU
rnacentral:rRNA from 1 species